UUGAGCCGUAUGCGGUGAAAGCCGCACGUACGGUUCUGAGGGGGGAAGGGAUUAGUAAUAAUCCCGACCUACCCGAC
rfam:Dyadobacter psychrophilus strain DSM 22270 genome assembly, contig: LX75DRAFT_scaffold00011.11